rnacentral:rRNA from 1 species
ACGGAAGGCAGCAGUGGGGAAUAUUGGUCAAUGGGCGAAAGCCUGACCCAGCAACGCCGCGUGAAGGAAGAAGAUCUUCGGAUUGUAAACUUCUUUUAUGAGGGACGAAGGACGUGACGGUACCUCAUGAAUAAGCCACGGCUAACUACGUGCCAGCAGCCGCGGUAAUACGUAGGUGGCGAGCGUUAUCCGGAUUUACUGGGUGUAAAGGGCGCGUAGGCGGGGUGACAAGUCAGAUGUGAAAUCUAUGGGCUCAACUCAUAAACUGCAUUUGAAACUGCCACUCUUGAGUGCUGGAGAGGUAGACGGAAUUCCUUGUGUAGCGGUGAAAUGCGUAGAUAUAAGGAAGAACACCAGUGGCGAAGGCGGCCUACUGGACAGUAACUGACGCUGAGGCGCGAAAGCGUGGGGAGCAAACAGGAUUAGAUACCCUGGUA